UACUGACAAAGGCAAACUAGCAGCAAUGCUGGGGCGCAAAGCGACAGUCCCGAGGUAAAACUCGGGAGGCUGCGUUACCAAA
rnacentral:ncRNA from 1 species